rnacentral:rRNA from 1 species
GCAUAUCAAUAAGCGGAGGAAAAGAAACCAACAGGGAUUGCCCUAGUAACGGCGAGUGAAGCGGCAACAGCUCAAAUUUGAAAUCUGGCUCUCUUUGGGAGUCCGAGUUGUAAUUUGCAGAGGAUGCUUUGGCAUUGGCGGCGGUCUAAGUUCCUUGGAACAGGACAUCACAGAGGGUGAGAAUCCCGUACGUGGUCGCCUGCCCUUGCCGUGUAAAGCUCCUUCGACGAGUCGAGUUGUUUGGGAAUGCAGCUCUAAAUGGGAGGUAAAUUUCUUCUAAAGCUAAAUACUGGCCAGAGACCGAUAGCGCACAAGUAGAGUGAUCGAAAGAUGAAAAGUACUUUGGAAAGAGAGUCAAAAAGCACGUGAAAUUGUUGAAAGGGAAGCGCUUGCAGCCAGACUUGCCCGCAGUUGCUCACCUAGGCUUUCGCCUGGGGCACUCUUCUGCGGGCAGGCCAGCAUCAGUUUGGGCGGUUGGAUAAAGGCCUCUGUCACGUAUCUCCCUUCGGGGUGACCUUAUAGGGGAGGCGCAAUGCAACCAGCCCGGACUGAGGUCCGCGCAUCUGCUAGGAUGCUGGCGUAAUGGCUGUAAGCGGCCCGUCUUGAAACACGGACCAAGGAGUCUAACAUCUAUGCGAGUGUUUGGGUGUCAAGCCCGAGCGCGCAAUGAAAGUGAACGGAGGUGGGAACCCUUUGGGUGCACCAUCGACCGAUCCUGAUGUCUUCGGAUGGAUUUGAGUAAGAGCAUAGCUGUUGGGACCCGAAAGAUGGUGAACUAUGCUUGAAUAGGGUGAAGCCAGAGGAAACUCUGGUGGAGGCUCGCAGCGGUUCUGACGUGCAAAUCGAUCGUCAAAUUUGGGCAUAGGGGCGAAAGACUAAUCGAACCAUCUAGUAGCUGGUUCCUGCCG